UGUCUGGGUCAGUUUCAACGAGCUCCUUUUUCUGUUUCAAAUAUACAGUGACUUUACCCAGCUGGAGCAAAACCAGGGACGUGGAGAGGGGUCUAUAGGGCCUUCCAGUCUAGAUAAACGUAAUGACUGAGACCCAUCCACACGGGAAACCGUGUCUCAAGACCUCGCCAAUAACCCAAUUACUCGUCCUCCAAUCUGUGGCCAACUUCCCCCUUCAGUCACCUCUUGCUAUGAAGAGGUAAGAGAGACCUAGACUGAGUCUUCAUUCCUAGCUUCUGGUUUCAAGUUGAUGACACCACCUGCCUGGAGUCCUCAUUCAGAUCCUACCAUAAUUGACUGACUGGAAAAUAGACUCAUGAAUCUGAUGUCACCACCAUAAACUAGCACUUGAAUGAUUUACCCUGUCAGAGCCUUGGAACUUGAAAUUUCCAGAAAAAUUCUAGCCCCAAAGAAGGAGACUUCUAUGGAGACAGAUUCAAGACACAAACAGGAAUGCUGAAGAAGCUGAAGUUGAACCAUUCUAUGAAGACCUACAAGACCUUCUAGAACUAACACCCUAAAAAGGUGUCCUUUUCAUUACAGGGGACUGGAAUGCAAAAGUAGGCAGUCAAGGAUACCUGGAUUAACAGGCAAAUUAGGCCUUGGAUUACAAAACAAAGCAGGUCAGAGGCUAACAGACUGUUGCCAAGAGAAUGCACUGGUCAUAGCAAACACCCUCUUCCAACAACACAGGAGAAGACUACACACGAACAUCACCAGAUGGUCAAUACCGAAAUCAGAUUGAUUAUAUUCUUUGCAGCCAAAGAUGAAGAAUAUAGUCAGGAAAAACAAGAUCGGGAGCUGACUGUGGCUCAGAUCAUGAACUCCUUAUUGCAAAAUUCAGACUUAAAUUGAAGAAAGUAGGGAAAACCACUAGACCAUUCAGUUCAGUGCAGUUUAGUCGCUCAGUCAUGCCCGACUCUUUGCAACCCCAUGAACUGCAGCACACCAGGCCUCCCUGUCCAUCACCAACUCCCAGA